GACGAACGCUGGCGGCGUGCCUAAUACAUGCAAGUAGAACGCUGAAGGAGGAGCUUUCUUCUCUGGAUGAGUUGCGAACGGGUGAGUAACGCGUAGGUAACCUGCCUGUUAGCGUGGGAUAACUAUUGGAAACGAUAGCUAAUACCGCAUAAGAGUAGAUGUUGCAUGACAUUUGCUUAAAAGGUGCAAUUGCAUCACUACCAGAUGGACCUGCGUUGUAUUAGCUAGGUGGUGUGGUAACGGCUCACCAAGGCGACGAUACAUAGCAGAACUGAGAGGGUGAUCGGCCAGACUGGGACGGAGACCCGGCACAGACUCCUACGGGAGGCAGCAGGAGGGAAUCUUCGGCAAUGGAUGGAAGUCUGAACGAGAAACGCCGAGGGAGUGAAGAAGGUUUUCGGAUCGUAAAGCUCGGUUGUAAGAGAAGAAAGAGUGUGAGAGUGGAAAGUUCACACUGUGACGGUAUCUGACCAGAAAGGGACGGCUAACUACGUG
rnacentral:rRNA from 1 species